rnacentral:rRNA from 1 species
AGCGAACGCUGGCGGCAGGCUUAACACAUGCAAGUCGAGCGGGCGUAGCAAUACGUCAGCGGCAGACGGGUGAGUAACGCGUGGGAACGUACCUUUUGGUUCGGAACAACUGAGGGAAACUUCAGCUAAUACCGGAUAAGCCCUUACGGGGAAAGAUUUAUCGCCGAAAGAUCGGCCCGCGUCUGAUUAGCUAGUUGGUGAGGUAACGGCUCACCAAGGCGACGAUCAGUAGCUGGUCUGAGAGGAUGAUCAGCCACAUUGGGACUGAGACACGGCCCAAACUCCUACGGGAGGCAGCAGUGGGGAAUAUUGGACAAUGGGCGCAAGCCUGAUCCAGCCAUGCCGCGUGAGUGAUGAAGGCCCUAGGGUUGUAAAGCUCUUUUGUGCGGGAAGAUAAUGACGGUACCGCAAGAAUAAGCCCCGGCUAACUUCGUGCCAGCAGCCGCGGUAAUACGAAGGGGGCUAGCGUUGCUCGGAAUCACUGGGCGUAAAGGGUGCGUAGGCGGGUCUUUAAGUCAGGGGUGAAAUCCUGGAGCUCAACUCCAGAACUGCCUUUGAUACUGAGGAUCUUGAGUUCGGGAGAGGUGAGUGGAACUGCGAGUGUAGAGGUGAAAUUCGUAGAUAUUCGCAAGAACACCAGUGGCGAAGGCGGCUCACUGGCCCGAUACUGACGCUGAGGCACGAAAGCGUGGGGGGCAAACAGG